rnacentral:tmRNA from 1 species
GGGGAUGCAAUGGUUUCGACGGGGAAUGUGAACAUUGGCAAGCGAGCGGUGGCUUUGCGGAACCACCUUAAAAUCCGUAAAACUUAAAUAAUAAACGACAACAAAAAACCUGUUGCCAUUGCCGCUUAAUUAGGCAAUCGUCUUUACCGGGGAUACCACGACCCGGUACGGGCGUCGACUUAGUGGUGAACGUGAACUAAGGAACGGCUCUUCCUUUGUCACGGCUUUGAGCCUACCGAAGCGUGCAGCCUGUUUGUCGGCGGCACGACGGGGGAAUCCCAAACGACAAACUGCGCUCGGAGAAAACCUUUGGGAAGGUUUCUCGGACAGGAGUUCGAUUCUCCUCAUCUCCA